rnacentral:rRNA from 1 species
UACGUAGGGUGCGAGCGUUAUCCGGAAUUAUUGGGCGUAAAGAGCUUGUAGGCGGUUUGUCGCGUCUGCUGUGAAAAUCCGGGGCUCAACCCCGGACUUGCAGUGGGUACGGGCAGACUAGAGUGUGGUAGGGGAGACUGGAAUUCCUGGUGUAGCGGUGAAAUGCGCAGAUAUCAGGAGGAACACCGAUGGCGAAGGCAGGUCUCUGGGCCACUACUGACGCUGAGAAGCGAAAGCAUGGGGAGCGAACAGG